CACCUCACAACUAGUCCAAACAAUCUGACCUUAAUAAAACAAAAUAAUUAUGUCAUUAAUACCCUAAACAAUAUUGUUUAAUAAACCAUUCUUUUACCUUAGUAUAGGAGAUAGAAAAG
rnacentral:rRNA from 1 species